AUGCACGCUGGCGGCGUGCCUCAUACAUGCAAGUCGCGCGCACAGACGAGGAGCUUGCUCCUCUGACGUUAGCGGCGGACGGGUGAGUAACACGUGGAUAACCUACCUAUAAGACUGGGAUAACUUCGGGAAACCGGAGCUAAUACCGGAUAAUAUAUUGAACCGCAUGGUUCAAUAGUGAAAGACGGUUUUGCUGUCACUUAUAGAUGGAUCCGCGCCGCAUUAGCUAGUUGGUAAGGUAACGGCUUACCAAGGCAACGAUGCGUAGCCGACCUGAGAGGGUGAUCGGCCACACUGGAACUGAGACACGGUCCAGACUCCUACGGGAGGCAGCAGUAGGGAAUCUUCCGCAAUGGGCGAAAGCCUGACGGAGCAACGCCGCGUGAGUGAUGAAGGUCUUCGGAUCGUAAAACUCUGUUAUUAGGGAAGAACAAAUGUGUAAGUAACUAUGCACGUCUGGACGGUACCUAAUCAGAAAGCCACGGCUAACUACGU
rnacentral:rRNA from 1 species